rnacentral:rRNA from 1 species
UGGGGAAUAUUGGGCAAUGGGCGAAAGCCUGACCCAGCAACGCCGCGUGAGGGAAGAAGGCUUUCGGGUCGUAAACCUCUGUCGCAGGGGACGAGAAGAAGACGGUACCCUGUGAGGAAGCUCCGGCUAACUACGUGCCAGCAGCCGCGGUAAUACGUAGGGAGCGAGCGUUGUCCGGAAUGACUGGGCGUAAAGGGCGCGUAGGCGGCCUGAUAAGUCUGGAGUGAAAGUCCCGCUUUCAAGGUGGGAAUUGCUUUGGAGACUGUCGGGCUUGAGUAUGGGAGAGGAUAGCGGAAUUCCCGGUGUAGCGGUGAAAUGCGUAGAGAUCGGGAGGAACACCAGUGGCGAAGGCGGCUAUCUGGACCAAAACUGACGCUGAGGCGCGAAAGCGUGGGGAGCAAACA